rnacentral:lncRNA from 1 species
AAUUAAGCUGAUAUUUAGUUUUCAUUUCUCUAAAAACUUAUUGUCAAUUACAAAUUCUCAUAUAAAUUAAUCAAAAAUACAAUUUGUCCAUAAAUGGACCUCAAACAACAACAAAAAUUUCGCAAAUUACACAAGCUAAUUUUCUUAAUAUAUCAUUUGAAAUUAAAUUUAAACACACAAAUUAAAGGAUUUUAUGACUCAAAAUUAGGGGUGGGUUGGGAGGCCCGCUCAAGCGAGUUCUGCAAAGUAAGCAGCGUCAACGCUCGGCCAGCCUAUAACCCCUCCAUAAAUUCUUGCACCAUUUCUUUGAGUAAUCGGUGCUGCGGUCAGCUCUCACCGCCCGCUUUGUUUUCCUUACUCAUUAGUUUAAGGCAGUUUUUAAAAGUACACCCCUUCAAUACUUAUGAUCUAUUCUUUCACUAGGAUAUUCACGAUUUUUCGAUGUGGGAUGUUCAUCGCAGAAUUCCCUCGAAAUCCACAUUUGAUUUGAUUCUCUUUCUGUCACUUCUUCGUUUCGUUGCGUUGUUAAUGAUAAUAGAGGGAAGAGUCUAUGCAGAUUUUCCGGUGAAAUUAGCAUCAGCGAUAUUGAUUCUUAUGGUAAACCUCAAUUAGGGUUAAGGAGAAGGGUGUACAAGAUGGCACGCCAAAAGGGUAUAUUUGGGGGGGAAAUGCCCGGCGGGUGAUGAUGCACCUCUCCAUUGCUGCUUAUGAGGAUUUGCGUAUGAACUUUGCUAUUUUUUGAGAAGGUUAGCAGUUAACUUGAAAUAUUUUCACUGAUUGAGCCUCAUCAGUGUCUAAUAUCUGUUUCUUUGGUUUCUUUUUUCACUUAAUGAACAUAUAUUUUGCUGUGUAGAGAUGCAUUAGUAUUACUUCCUCAUUUUCACGGCUUAAAAACUGUUCGUUUUCUUUUCUUUUAAAGAUUCGUGCAAGACAUCCU